AAGCAUAUACAAACCAUGACAGGGGUCAUCUCUAUAGUUCAUUACUAGAGGAGUUUCUCUGUGCAGAGCAUCCAAGACCAUGAGGCUGUGAGGCAGAGUUCCCUCCUGUGUGAAGCUGGCUGUAGGUGCUGCUUCCCGACCUUUGCCAUUGACGAUCCAUCUUGUCUUUCUUUGAGAGAGAGGUGGGGAAGGCAGUCUGAGUGGA